AGGUUGCAGCACGCUGCCGUGAUACAGCCGGAGCCCAGCAGAGAGAAGUGACACAAGCUUUACCGCCUGCGCCAGAAGGGGAAGGGGACUUCCAGGCCAUGUUGCGAAGUGGCAGUAAAAAAGGUGGAAAGAAAACUCCCACAGAACUGCCUUAACAUCAGAUAGAGACAACAGGCAUGAUGAGCCCUGCAAAGCCCCGUGGCACAGGGUGAUCUGGACAAGGGAGCGCCUGUGCAGCAGUCACACAGAAAGCAAGAGAGUGUCCUGUGGGUUUAGAACAAACAAAAAACAGCUUCAGCCUUCAUGAGUCAGAGCCCGGAAAAACACCUUGCUUUGGAGACUGCCUGGAUUUCAGUGGGAUUUUGCCUUCAGAAAAGCUGGGAUGAGUUUCACAGAAGCUAGCAUCACUUACAGUGUGCAAACUCAACACAAUCAGAAGCCUGAUUAAAAACAACAACAACAAAAAAGUAUUUCUCUUAGUCAUAGAUGCAUCAGAUGUAAAACAGUCAUUUGAUUCAGUAGAUACACCAACCUUCAGAAUGGGAGAAGUUCCAGGAUUUUCCUAAAAGGACGGGGGCUCCACAUGAAUCACCCUCGCCUUUCAACUCCUUUCACCAGUGGCACGUGCCAGGAUGUCUCAUGGUUAUUAAAGUGGCAAGCAAGGGGAGGACAUCCAGAUCUGAGGGCAAACAUUCCCUGGCUUCAAUGCUUUUCAUGAACCUUUCCCAAGCAGUUAGCACAUACUGUUACCAACAAGGUAAAAACACUUAACCACUUAUCCCUCUGCCCUGUGCAUCCCCAAUGCCUCCCGCACUGGAAUGUAAAUGUUCAAAAAAAGAAGAAAAAAAACCCACCAUCAGACACUACCCCCACCUUCAUCCUGCCUCACCAAGCUGAAAGACGUAGAACUCCUUCCCAAAGGUGAUCAUUCUGAAACCU